rnacentral:lncRNA from 1 species
CAAGAUGGAGAUUGUUGUGGAUUGCCUUUCUAUUCUUGAUUGGGCUGAAUUCAUUUGAACAUUGAACUAUUUGUUGGGCCACCGGGUCUUGGACUUAAGUGAAAGCGUGUUUCUGAAAAAUGCACUUAUUCUCUAAAAUGUGAGAUUAAUUGUUGGCCCUUCAUCUAGCUCAAUCUGGACCGUUGGAUCUGGACGUUUUAACUGGACUAUAAAGUCCUCCCUUG